GUGGAUGCGAGAACCCCCUGCUCUGUGUUACACUUGGUAAACAACACCACAGGUUGCUUUCAGUGACCGUGAGAGUUCUUCAGAUUCCAACUUGCAGAACGUUCCUCGGGGACCCUGUGAUGCCCAAGCAGGAGAAUGGUCAGUUUUGGGGUCGAGCUGGUGGGCCUGUCUGAGGUGGCUCUCCCUGGGAGCAGGUCCCAGAAGCUACCGUUCCCCGUCGGGUUCUGUGACUUCUUCCAGUCUCUUUGCUCCUUCCUGUCACAUUCUGACUGGUUUCAAUGGAGCGGAAUCAGGCAUGUCUCUGUGGAACACGCUCAGAGGUUUUGGAGGACAUCUUGCGUACCCCUUUUUUAACCUGGUAAGUGGGACUCUCUGAAGCCAUUCCAAUCCCGGGUUGGAAAGCCAGCUUCAUAACUUACUCAGCACAUGACCUUGAAGAAAUAACUUACCCUUUUUUUUCAAAAGAUUUUAUUUAUUUAUUUGAUAGAGACACAGCAAGAGAGGGAACACAAGCAGGGGUAGAGGGAGAGAGAGAAGCAGGUUUCCUGUCGAGCAGGGAGCCUGAUGCAGGCCUUGAUCCCAGGACCCUGGAAUCAUGAAGGCAGACGCUUAACGACUGAACCUCCCAGGUGCCCAGGGGAUGAGUAUUCUUCAUCCCCUCGUGAUGUUACCAGAACGAUGAAAAAUUGUAUAAAAUACACACACACACACCCCACCUAGUGCCAUGCCUAUGGCUCAGUAAAUACAGCUGUCAUUCAUUCCAUUUGAGAAGGCAGAAAUAAAGCUGAAACAAAAUAUGGUUGGUGGGGGAUAGAUGUCCCCACAGGAUUGUUUUGGUUAACAGAGUGUUUUUAAAAAGAUUUAUUUAUAAAAAGGAUUUAUUAUUCAUAAAUACUUGUAUAUUUAUAAAUAUUAUCUACUUAUUUAUUUGCAUUGGGGGAGGGGCAGAGGGAGAGAGAGAAUCUCAAGCAAAUUUCCCGCUGAGCACAGAGCCCGAGGCAGGGCUGGAUCUCAGGACCCUGAGAUCAUGACCUGAGCUGAAGCCAAGAGUCAAGCGCUUCACCGACUGCACCCCCUGGGCACCCCGUGAUUUUGAACAGGACUAAUAUGGGCAAACAAUGUUCAGAGCUGCAGCUCACCUUUCUCUUCCCACCUAUGUUCUAGGAAAACAGUUUGCUAACAUCCUGUGUUUCUACUGAAGGGCAGGGCUGUUCGAGAGCUUCUGUAUUUAUUUGACUCUUAGGCUUGGACAGUGUCUCGGUUGGAUUCGUGUCCUGUUAGACAGUUACGGGUUCUUCACUUUUUUCAAAAUUGCUUUGGAGGAUUUAUAGAAUCUUGUUAUUUUGCUGUGAGAUGCUGGACGUUGGAGUGACUUGUCACAGAUUGAGGUGUUAUGCUUGCAGUGAGGUGACAAAAGCACAUGGAUGUCCCUGGGGUUGAUUGUAGAUGCCAUACAGCACAAGAAACCAGGUCCCCACAAGAAGAGGAGAUAAACACUGACAAAUUCCACGUUAGAAUCACGAGAGCUUUCAUCUGCUAGUUCACUUGAUCAUAAGUAUAUCUGAAUGUUGUGGGUGUGCCUUAUGUGAUGCGAGAAUCAGGAAAUAUACAGAAGAAAUGGCUGAGCUUAUUUAAUAUUUAGGUAAAUAUUUCUUUGAGCUGGCUUUGAAAUAUAAUGCACUUCUGCAUUGGUGGCAAAGGUUACAAAGCUAAUAACGUUUCAUAAGGUCCCGGAGACCAGAUUACAUACGCAACAUAUCUCUUCUGGGCUGAGGCUGUUAAAAGCAAGUGUGCCUUGUUCACCUACCUCUUCCCUUAAAGUGGUGACCUUGAC